rnacentral:tRNA from 1 species
GCUGGGAAUAUAGCUCAGUUGGUAGACUGUUUGCCUCCCAUGCACAAGGCCCUGAUUCGAUAGUUCAAUCCCCAGCA